rnacentral:rRNA from 1 species
GCACAAGCGGUGGAGCAUGUGGUUUAAUUCGACGCAACGCGAAGAACCUUACCUGGGCUCGAAAUGUACAGGAAUCCGGUGGAAACAUCGGCGCCCAGCAAUGGGCCUGUAUAUAGGUGCUGCAUGGCUGUCGUCAGCUCGUGUCGUGGGAUGUUGGGUUAAGUCCCGCAACGAGCGCAACCCUUACCCCCAGUUGCCAUCAUUCAGUUGGGCACUCUGGUGGAACCGCCUCGGAUAACGGGGAGGAAGGUGGGGAUGACGUCAAGUCCUCAUGGCCUUUAUGUCCAGGGCUACACACGUGCUACAAUGGCCGGUACAAACCGUCGCAAACCCGUGAGGGGGAGCUAAUCGGAAAAAGCCGGCCUCAGUUCGGAUUGGAGUCUGCAACUCGACUCCAUGAAGCUGGAAUCGCUAGUAAUCGCAGAUCAGAACGCUGCGGUGAAUACGUUCCCGGGC